rnacentral:rRNA from 1 species
CAGCCGCCGCGGUAAUACGUAGGUGGCAAGCGUUGUCCGGAAUUAUUGGGCAUAAAGGGCUCGCAGGCGGUUUCUUAAGUCUGAUGUGAAAGCCCCCGGCUCAACCGGGGAGGGUCAUUGGAAACUGGGAAACUUGAGUGCAGAAGAGGAGAGUGGAAUUCCACGUGUAGCGGUGAAAUGCGUAGAGAUGUGGAGGAACACCAGUGGCGAAGGCGACUCUCUGGUCUGUAACUGACGCUGAGGAGCGAAAGCGUGGGGAGCGAACAGGAUUAGAGACCCCGGUAGUCCCUGUCUCUUAUAC